UACGUAGGGUGCAAGCAUUGUCCGGAAUUAUUGGGCGUAAAGAGCUCGUAGGCGGUCUGUCGCGUCGGAUGUGAAAACCCAGGGCUCAACCCUCGGGUGCCUGCAUUCGAUACGGGCAGACUAGAGUUCGGUAGGGGAGACUGGAAUUCCUGGUGUAGCGGUGAAAUGCGCAGAUAUCAGGAGGAACACCGGUGGCGAAGGCGGGUCUCUGGGCCGAAACUGACGCUGAGGAGCGAAAGCGUGGGGAGCAAACAGG
rnacentral:rRNA from 1 species